GUACAUGAGAAUGUGUUAACACGCUGUACUAUAUACCCUCUGAUAAAACAUGCGCUUGUUGGUGUAAAUAGAGUAGUGAAUGAUUUCGGGUGCAUGUAGGUGUGCAUAGCGAUGGAUUUAAAUACUUACAAAAUGGAUGACGGAUUUAUUAAAUAUACAUUCCAAUAUUUAUAAGUGAUUUCUGAAGAGGUGUGACAUUUACAAAUAUUUUUAAACAGACUGUUUCACUUCAGUACUUCGGUAUAUAGAUCUAAUUCUAAAAAAUAGCAAAUUAAACAUGUUUACAUUCAUGCAUCGUAAAUACUGGAUGCAAUAUUUGUGUGACCGCACAUGGUGUAGGAUUGACUGAGGGAAUUUAAAGGAAAAGUUUCAAUGUUGUUUAACCGUCUGGGUUCAAUCUUUGUUUACAUUUCGUUGGAAACCCGAAAAAUACAGGUGUGUUUUCGUGCAAAUACUUCUACAGUACAUUGGUAUACAGUACAUGUACACAGUGCAGUCGAUUGACUUGUAUUCUUCUAAGCGAACGGGAUUAUCGCCUGUUCGCUUAUCUUUUUUACAGGGCGCCGUUUGAUGUGAGACGCUGUCUUUAUAACAAUCCUGGGCGUCUGCAGGGUCGGACAUGAGGUCAGAGGGAGUGUACUAAAAUGAAUUAUGGGCCGGUCCGAAAAUGGAGUUUUCCAUUUCAGGAAAAAAUCAACAUUAAAACACCAGUUGUCAGAAAAGUGUUUUUUUCGUUGUGUUCAAUAAUAGCUGUGAUAUUUUUUGUGCUAUUUUAUGGUUGCUUUUCAUCUGGAACGGCAUGUAUAAAGUCGCAAGUGGUUGUGCAAAGUCAUUAUAACUUCCAUAAACAAAAUGUCGCCGAUCAUUCCCGGAAUCUCGGAGAUAGUCCGAGUCUCGAAACGGACGAAAUUUCGAAAGUCAAUCACGGACCCAUUUUCGUAAAGGAGCUAAAUGUCUCGGUUCCGAACAUUGCCGUCAGAUCCGAACUUUUGGAAGUCGGGGAAAAUGAAACGAUAGACGAAGACGAAGAGUUGUUUGAGGAAGAUGACAACUUGAGUUCGGGGUCAGGUAUAGACAACACAACGAUGGGAUUCGAGGAAAUCGACUGGAGUGAUUCGCGCCUGGAUUUGUUGCACAUGCGGAAGCCUGAUUUCGACCCAAGAUUCAAGAAUCCCUGUUGGUUCGAACCUCUGACUUCCUUGAACCCGUACGAGAACAACACUUUCACCACGUUUUCCCCUUCCUCGAGCAGGGCCCUAGAGACGCUGGCUAACCACUGGCGUGUCAAUGCCGACACUUACGGCUAUGCACCCACUACUGCCACAACGCGCCUCCGCUGCCUCCCGUACUUUCUGAUCAUCGGUCAACCAAAAUGCGGCAGUACGGACCUGUUUUGGAAGAUUGCAAAGCAUCCGGACAUCGUCACGCCGCCUAUAAAGGAGCUCCACUGGUGGUCCCGGAACCGCCAAGGUCGGCGUUUCAACUACAUGAAACUCAUUCCAUUCAGCGACUACAUUGACAUGUUUGACAACGCCGGUGUGCGCAUCUACGAAAAGUUGCUGGACUAUAUCGAUGACGUAGACGAUGACCAAAUAAUUACAGGGGAGGCCAGUGUGUCACUGUUUUGGGACAACGGUGAGUGGGACCGAUUCCCGGAAAACAUGGACCAAACACAGCCGAGAUUUAUCGUCCCUGACUAUAUUCAGCAUUUCAUUCCAGAUGUCAAACUUAUCCUUAUUCUUAGAAAUCCUGUUGAAAGGAUGUAUUCCGAUUAUCUCUACUUCCAUUCCACAAACAAGUCCGUGGAUGAUUUUCACGAGGCGGUGAAAGAUGCCGUGGAUUUGUACAGCAGCUGUGUUCAAACGAACUCUCCGAGACAGUGCGUGUAUGACCCAGCCUUGGGCAAUAAAGCCAGGGUGCGUUUACGGGUCGGCAUGUACUCAGUGUUUCUGCGAGACUGGUUACGGCUAUUUCCACUUAGUCAGUUCCACAUUUUACGCCUUGAAGACUAUUCAAGAGAACCAGUCAACUACGUAAAAGAAGUUUACCGCUUUCUUGGCUUGAGAGAAAUUCCGUCGGCAAGGGAGAAGCUGAUGGUGACGUCAUCGACGUCGAAUGUCAGGAAGCAGUCGGACCGGGCUCUCGGAGAUAUGUUAUCGGAGACUCGGGCGCUCUUACUGCAAUUUUACAGACCUUACAACGAGGAGCUGGCUGCCAUGUUGUCUAGCAAGCGAUACUUGUGGGCAGACAGCUGAGAGCAGUAGAGCGAGUCGGAAUCUAUAAAGAGAUUUAAGUAGUCGGAAAUCGCUAUUGACGGCAAUAGAGCCUGUUGAAUCUAAAAAUGGAGCGCAAGAUACUUUAUUAUGCGCCGGGAUCUAAAACUGGAAUUUGCGGUCGGAAUCUAAAAAUGUCUUUUAAUUAAGAUAUUGAUACAUGUCAGCAUUCAUUAACGAGGUUUAACGUUGGAAUAAGAGUAGACAUUUUAGCAUUGAAAUCUAAUAUAAAGAAUUUUUAGGGUCGGAAUCUAAAACAAAUUUUAGGCUCCAGACUUUGACAAUAUAUUGCAAGGGUCGUGUUUCUAAGAAGAUUUUUCUAUCGAUUAUAUCUCUGUUAUCGUACCUUCACGGAAUCUAAAGCAGAGGCUUAUCAGUGCCAACACUUUACGCUUUUAUAUUAUUUUUGGUUAAAGGUUGUCUCUUCUUAGCCAAAAUCCAUUCUAGGCGGAAAGUGUCGUCUUUGAUAUACCUGUGCGCACUGCAUUGGCUGAUAUAGAGGACGCCACUUAACGCUCAUGCAAUAAAUCCUGUUUUCUCUGACCAAGACUCAUGUGUUUGCCAUAAAGGGUCUGAGUUGAGGCAAAGUUUUGGACACUGUUUUGAAAUUCAUAAAAAAUGCAAAAUAGUGACUUCAUUCAUUACCACCUAACACUUUAUACAUCGAAUACUUGUAUCUUGCAUAUAAGUUUGCUAAUCAUUUAUCUCCUGAAGAAUUCAACAUUUUGACAUGUGUUCACAGAAAAGGUAAUGAUAUGGUGUUGAUCAUUGCUAUAUUCCUAUGUGUUGAUUUAAUGUUACUGUGAUCGAAAUCGCAUUUUUGGGUUGAAGCAACCAUGACAUGUGCAAAUGCCCAAAGUAUUCAUAAAGUGACCAUCUUACUCCAUGUCGACAGUACGCAAUUGUUGAACUAAAUAGGUUUUAAAAUGGUAAAUAAAAUAUGUUCACGUUUCCGUUUUAUUUUGAUUUAUUUUUCAUAUAUAGUUAUAUGUUAUAUUAAGCACCGCAGUUUUCAUAUGAUUCGAAGUUCAACUGAAAGAUAAGUAGAAGGUAUUCCGAUAAUUAUUUUGAACAAUUGGCUGUGCUAUUUUGUAGAAACACCAUAUUUAUUUCGUUAAAAGAGAUAUUAAAAUUACGAUCUUAGAAACUCAGUAUUUUGAGCAUGCUGCAAAAUAAGCCGUUUUAUCUGUUUGUGUUAUGUUAAUUUUGUUAGCUUUCACCAUCAUUGUCAUUUUCACGUUUGUUAAGUAAUAAUAAAAAAUAUUUAAAAAAAUAUAAAUAUAAUAAUACAAUUAUGGAGAGAGCGUUCUUUGUUGUAUUUUUACCACUGUGUAAAUUUAUUUUACCUUUAUUAUUUUAUUUUAUUUAUAAUUGUCUCAAUUUUAGGUAUAUACACUAUUAUGAAAACAUUAUUUUUUGUAUUCUGAUAUCCUUUGUUUUUUUAAAGUCAUUUCAGUGAUGUACACUUUAUAAUAUUUAUGUUUCAAACAGUGAAGAUUAAUAUGUUUUCUGGUUCCAAAACUAAUAUUUAAAUGAAGCAGAUCGUCAAAGUUUCCGACUCAAUUUGUGAAAUGGCGCCAUUAUUUUGACGCCUUUAAUGUAUUAAUUGUGAUUAUUUCCAGUUAAACCUUUUCAUAAUGCAAACAAAGACAUAGCAAUGACACGGACAUGUCUUGGUUCGAGAAGAUUAUCAUUUUACUUCAGCAAUUGAUUUUGCUUUGCCAUUUGGUAAACAUCGAUAGUAUAAUAAAUAUAAAUACAUUAAUUUAAUAUUAAGUAAAAUUUUCAACAACGGCUUGUUAAGCAUUAAAAGGAUUCACAUGUUUUUUGUUUUGGCAGCUUUAAACUUGUGCAUGUCGUAUAUUAUGUUUUAUAUCAAUAACUGUGUGUCUAUUUCAAAAGGUCAAGGUCACGCUUUGAUAGAGGUCAAUGUUGCAAUAAGGUCAGAAUGCAGUUGUCCGACUGUUCAUCACUGGGUAUAGUUUUAUAUUGUUGCAAGAUUAACUAACGAUGUGUCUUGCAAUACAUUUGAUAAACUUUUGAACGAACUAGUAUAUAACUAAUGCGUUUAGAUGUUACAUGACAAAAAGGGUAAUAAAUAUUUAGUAUUAUUUAUGUAUAAGAAAACGUUAUUAAAAUAUAUAUUAACACUGUUUUGUUAAGUACAUAUUUCAUUAAUUUGUAUUAUCCAAAGUACGAACACCAUUCAAAUUAUAAUAUUGCUUUAUUCCACUGAUAUUAUCUGUUGUGUAUAUACAUAUUUUAUUUUUGCACAAGAUCUCAGUUACUUUUUUUAUUUAUCUUGAAAUUAGUAACAACAUAUAUGUUAUUUUAUCUGUGUAUACACAAACCAACGUUUGUGAUGGUUGUAUAUAUAUGUAAUUAAUAUUAUAUAAAAUCCAUGACAUGUUUUUUUGCUUAACGUUUUCUAUGUGAAAUAUAAUUUACAAACGUA